GCUCUCACCUGCUGUCCUCUCCUCCAGGUCACAGUCAGAGAUAGUGACAUGAGGGCCACCAAAGAUCAAAGAGGUCCUGGGGUUUCCCCUUCCCCUACUCUUCAUUCCUAGCCUCCUCUGGCACCCUUUCCCCCGGGGCCAAGCCAAGCCAGGAGUCCACGGGGCCCAAGGUGGUGCCUGGGAUGCCCGGACAGUGCCAGGGGCAGCCCUUGUGCCAUCCUCCCACUGGCUUCCCUCCCGCCUGCUCUCAGCCGUCACACAGAUCUCAGCUGUCCAAUCUGAUUAGGGCCCCUGUCCAGUGAGCCGGACAAGGAGGCCACUGGGCAGGGGAGAGACAGGGACAAGGGCGCUGAGCAGGGAUGGCAGAAGGAAGGUGGAGACAGGGCUCAGGGGAGAAGGUGUGGAGCCCCAGAGGAAGAAAAGCCUCGUGGAGAGCUCUGUCCUCUCUGACCACAGGCUCUCUGGUGACAGCUACCCCCUGCAUUAGGGUAAUUCUACGGCCUGCCUGGUUCUGCCUUCCCACAGAUGGGCAAGGAUGGGGGGAAGGAAAGCCAAGGCAGGGAGACUGACCUAGAUUUAGGAAAAGAAUCUUGUCUUAGAAACCCCACUGCCCCCUCAUAACUACCAUUUGCACCUAGCUGUCUGAUAUAUUGUCUUACGGGGUCUUUAUAGAGGUGUCCCUAUCAGGCAAGUGGGGCCUGCUACUGACCGCCGUGUGUUUACAAAUGAAGAAACUAAGUCUGCUGUCUUCCUGGUGUUGGCCUCACUGAAAUAAAUUCUUUUCUUGUCUCACCAAAACAGCAAAAACAAGAAAACAAAAGAAAAGGGAGAGAAAGACAGGAAGGAAGGAAGAAAGGAAGGAAAGAUGAAAGAGAGAAAGAAAGAACAAACUAAGCCGUUAGGGUAAAUCACACACCCGCUCACACUCAGAAGCUCUGCUUCCUGGGUCAAGAGCAGAAUUAAGUCUGAAGUCACUCCCUUAUCCACCCUUUCCUCCAAAACCAACCCUUAGGGGACCUGGGGAGUCAUGGAGAAGAGCAAAGCACACCCCACACCUCAAGGGAGCUACCAGAUGGGGACAAGCCGCCCACUCCACCAGACACAGAGCUAGAGGGGUUCCCCCAAAGCGUGACCAGUCUUUCCUAUCACUCUCUUCCUCAGUCAGCUACGCUCAGAGGCGAUACACACAUUCACACAGUUACUCAGACAAGUCAUACGGCCCUCCUGCAAACCCACUAAACCAGAAUGAGAUGCCCUAGAUCUUCAGAGAGCAGGCUUUGUCAGCCCCCGACUGGAGGGAAAAAUCAGCCGCUGUAAACAGUGGGUGCCAUUCAGCCCUUUCCCAGAGAGCCUGCAGGCGCGCAGGAGCUUGGGGGUAACACCAGGAGCCUGAGACUCUGGAAGGCAAGGCAUCCAGGGAGCUGGCCCGGCGGGGUGGCCUCCCUGAUCUGGUCUACACCCCCUUCCCCAGCCAUCUGGGCUGAGCCUGUUCUGGCCUGGGCCACACUCUGGGACUUCUCCCCUUCCAUGCAUACAGCCACCUUUUAUGCAAAGCUUAUAGAUCUUAAAACCACAUCGUCUAAACACACACACAAACACACACACACACACUGGGGUGAGGGGCUUGUCUUUGCAAUAGGUGCUGAGGUCGUGGCAGGGAUGGGGUUCUAAGCUGAAAGAACUUUCCCUAGAGGAACAGGUCACCAAAAACCACUCACAACCUCCACUACCCUCCAGCAAAGCCUUUAGCCCCCCAAGUGUAAGAGGAGCCUGGAAAGGGGCAUUCGUUCCCCUACAAGGCGCCCCGCUCCACCUCUGUGCAGAGACACCAGCAAUGUGUGCCUCCUGAAUAGAACCGACCUGGAGAUGGAGAGAAAGGGAGUGCCUUCCUCGGUUCAUUUGUCCGUUCAUUCAACAUUGUUUACUGAAUACCUCCCAGGUCCUGGACACUGUCCUAAGUGCUGGGGACAGACACAAAUCUAAAACUCUAUGGAAGUUUCAUCUGCUUCUUUGAAGAAAAAUAAAUCAAGAUAUAGACAUAUAUCCCACCACCUUCAAGAGGGAGAAUGUGGGUCAGCAUCUUUGCCUCUACUCUGUGUGAAAACCGGCUACAAUCCUGGCAGAAACUAGUAACCACAAGCCCAGCCCAUCCCUCUAAAAAUCCCACUACCUUCCCAUAGCUCUCAGCUUCAGUGAGAAAAGCCAGCAAGAAAAGGACUUUUCUUCCUCUUCUGUCUGCUCCCCGGCUGUCUGAAUUACACUUAAGACUUCACUGACAAACAUACAUCAGCUUUUGCUCCCACAAGGGCAGCGGAAGCCAAGCAGGGACUCUAAGUCGGCUUCACGCAUCACUGACAGAACCAACCCUGUUCCAAUUGCUGAAGUCUUAAGAGCAGCAAUGACCUAGAAAUUGACAGUGGGGGGAGAACUGAAGGAAAGGAAACCAACAACCCAGUAGAGGGAAAACCCUAUUUCCAAAUACCAGGGGAAAGGAAGAGAAAAGAGGUAAAGGGGAAAGAAAUUUGGCCCUUUCGAAUCUGUAAAUGCGAUCUUGGCUCUGAGCCAUGGAGGAUACAUAGCAGCCCCACUGCGAGUCAAGCCAUGUUCCUGACUCAAGCCCUACAGUUAAGAGGAAGGCGCCAAGCCUCAAACACAACGAGGUGGGGAGGCCGCUCCUUUCUGGGCAGGAUCCUACUGUGGACACAGAACAGACAGCAGCUGCCCACAGUGUGGAAACAAACUGUAAAGCAGUCACGUCUCUUAAGGCUGCAGCA